rnacentral:rRNA from 1 species
CAUCCUCCAAGGCUAAAUACUCCUGACUGACCGAUAGUGAACCAGUACCGUGAGGGAAAGGCGAAAAGAACCCCGGCGAGGGGAGUGAAAAAGAACCUGAAACCGUGUACGUACAAGCAGUGGGAGCACCCUUCGGGGUGUGACUGCGUACCUUUUGUAUAAUGGGUCAGCGACUUAUAUUCUGUAGCAAGGUUAACCGUAUAGGGGAGCCGGAGGGAAACCGAGUCUUAAUUGGGCGUUAAGUUGCAGGGUAUAGACCCGAAACCCGGUGAUCUAGCCAUGGGCAGGUUGAAGGUUGGGUAACACUAACUGGAGGACCGAACCGACUAAUGUUGAAAAAUUAGCGGAUGACCUGUGGCUGGGGGUGAAAGGCCAAUCAAACCGGGAGAUAGCUGGUUCUCCCCGAAAGCUAUUUAGGUAGCGCCUCGUGAAUUCAUCUCCGGGGGUAGAGCACUGUUUCGGCUAGGGGGCCAUCCCGGCUUACCAACCCGAUGCAAACUGCGAAUACCGGAGAAUGUUAUCACGGGAGACACACGGCGGGUGCUAACGUCCGUCGUGAAGAGGGAAACAACCCAGACCGCCAGCUAAGGUCCCAAAGUCAUGGUUAAGUGGGAAACGAUGUGGGAAGGCCCAGACAGCCAGGAUGUUGGCUUAGAAGCAGCCAUCAUUUAAAGAAAGCGUAAUAGCUCACUGGUCGAGUCGGCCUGCGCGGAAGAUGUAACGGGGCUAAACCAUGCACCGAAGCUGCGGCAGCGAACGUAUCACCCAAGACAACUUUACGGAGUUGACGAUUGACGGAGCGAAGCGACGUCAAAGCGUUCAUUAAAGUCGAGUUGGCUUAGGGAUACGUUCGUUGGGUAGGGGAGCGUUCUGUAAGCCUGUGAAGGUGUGUCGUGAGGCAUGCUGGAGGUAUCAGAAGUGCGAAUGCUGACAUAAGUAACGAUAAAGCGGGUGAAAAGCCCGCUCGCCGGAAGACCAAGGGUUCCUGUCCAACGUUAAUCGGGGCAGGGUGAGUCGACCCCUAAGGC